rnacentral:rRNA from 1 species
GACGAACGCUGGCGGCGUGCUUAACACAUGCAAGUCGAACGAUGAAGCCGGAGCUUGCUCUGGUGAAUUAGUGGCGAACGGGUGAGUAACACGUGAGUAACCUGCCCUUGACUCUGGGAUAACUGCGGGAAACUGUAGCUAAUACCGGAUACGACCCUCGGAGGCAUCUCCUGGGGGUGGAAAGAAUUUCGGUCAAGGAUGGACUCGCGGCCUAUCAGCUAGUUGGUGAGGUAAAGGCUCACCAAGGCGACGACGGGUAGCCGGCCUGAGAGGGUGACCGGCCACACUGGGACUGAGACACGGCCCAGACUCCUGAGGGAGGCAGCAGUGGGGAAUAUUGCACAAUGGGCGCAAGCCUGAUGCAGCAACGCCGCGUGAGGGAUGACGGCCUUCGGGUUGUAAACCUCUUUUAGCAGGGAAGAAGCGAAAGUGACGGUACCUGCAGAAAAAGCACCGGCUAACUACGUGCCAGCCGCCGCAGUAA